rnacentral:lncRNA from 1 species
UCGUCUGCUUCCGUCUCUGGCUUUCCCUUUCCACAUCUACCCACUUUUAAAAAAUAAAUCAGACCAAUAAUUGUCACCAUCAAAAGUUUCCAUAAUUUCUAGGUAGGAGAAUACCUCGUUCUACUUUAUUAACUAGAAGAAUAACCUGAAAUUCAAUUGGAUUCCAAAGUUCAAAUAAUCAAAGUACAACAAAAAUCCUAUAUACACACGUUCUCCUAAUUCUCUGGUCCAUUUAAGGUGGAGGCAGGUGUUUGAUUGAAACAUGAAUUCAGCGACGAACACAUACAAAUAUUGACAGAUGCAAGAAAUUGAUAUUGGCGGUUGUGAGGCCCUUUGUAAUGUUGUCUUGUAGAAGUGAAUUGGUUAUAUUGGUGGUGAAAGGAUUCUGUUUUAGCACCUUUUGUUCAAAGUGUUUGAUAUCAUAUGGAGAACUAUGCAUGUUAAUUACUUGAGUUGAUGUGAGAGAGGUUCAUAAAUCAUAAUUGGUUUGUACAACAUUCCAUAAUAAUGUUAAGGGAUUAAGAAAAGGAAAGCACUUGUAAAUGUAACUAUUGUUUGCUGGAAAAGGAAUGGAUGCUUCUGUUAGUAACUUCAUCAACCAAGCUGGUUGAAUCAGUUGAAUCUUGAUUCGUGUUUGGUGUCAUCUUGAUUUUAUCACCAUUGUACCUUUGAAAUUUGAACUGUUAAAGCUUAUUAUUUGGUGUCGGUCGAGGCUUCGUUUUGUAUUGGAUGUCUAACAUUCAGCGGUUUGAUCUGCAGUAGUAGUUGGCAUUGAAUUUUCGGACCAUAUAUAUCAUGGAGUUUUUCCCUACUCAUAUUUGGUUUUGUUUUUGGGGCUGGAUAUUGAUGUGCAGAUUGAUGAGAACGUUCAAAGGGAAAUCAUUAAUCAUAGGUCUCUGAGGCAUCCCAACAUUGUGAGGUUUAAAGAGGUUGGUUGUCUGUCCUUCAAAGUCUCUUCUUUGGUUAUUCAUCUUCGAGUAGGUGGAGGGAUCUUUAACUGUGCUCUGGAACUUGUGUAAUUAUGUUCAGGUCAUCCUGACACCUACUCAUCUGGCAAUCGUUAUGGAAUAUGCAUCCGGUGGAGAGCUCUUUGAGCGAAUAUCCAGUGCUGGCCGUUUCGGUGAGGAUGAGGUAUAUGUGAAAUUUAAACGUCGUAUCUGAAGUUAUAUCUUCUACUUCUUUGUUAGAUUAUUAAGUUUAUUGAGUGAUUUAUCAAAUUAAAUUUAGUUACUACUAAUAAUUAAUAAGUACUAAUUAUUGACGGAGUCGGAAAAUUGGCCAAGGGGGUUCAAAAUUCGUACCUAACAACAUGUGGUAGGAAACACAUAAUUAUUUGAAGUUAUACUUUCUACUUCUUUGUUUGAUUAACACUCGCUGAAAAUAUGCACCGGAUACAAGCGCUACAUGAUGAAAUAUUAUUUGCUGUUUUUUUAAAUAAAUAAAAUGUCGAGUUAAAGCUCAAUUAUAUCGUACAACACAACUAAAUCACCCAAAUUUAUUAACUUUCUUUCCAUUUUUUCUAUUAUAUUUUUCUAUUUUAAUUUCCAAUAUCUUUAUCUUUUUUUCUUCACUAUACACAAUAUAACGCCCAAAAACCACACACCAUCCUUAUUAUGUUUUCAGUUGGAUAAUCUCAUAUCAAAUCCCCAAGAGCUUUAUCUCGUCCAUGGCUGCCUCGGUAGUAUAGUUUUGAGCACUCUUUUGAACUUUCAAUGCUACAUAACCACCCUACAACCAAUGAAAUUGAAUGAGAUCAUCUCAAUACUCAAUAGUGGGCUUUAGGUUGAGUAAUUGUACCGCUUCAACAAUUGUCGCCAUGGACGACCAUGGGCCUGUCUUGGCCCAAACUAGAAUUCCGGAUAUUAUAGGAAUUAUCAUGCACAUACGUUGGAAGUUUCCAGGACUAGUCAUGCACACGUUGGAAGUUUCCAGUUUUGGAUAGAUUUUUUUUUCGAUUAGAAGUUGGAUUAUGAAGCUCACGAGAACAAUCACAUAAAUAUAAGACAAUUUCCUUGUAAUGACAUGACAAUUUACAAACGAUAUUUCGUUUGUUCGUUCAGUGACUGAUGGAAAAAAUUUCACACAUCAUCGAUGAUCAAGUUUGACCAAUUUGAAACUUCCGUCGACCGGAAGUUCAUCAGAUAAAGAUUAGGAACACAAAAGAUGGUACUUCUUACAAGUCAUGAUUUUCGCCCGGCGCCACCUCAGCUCCCGUCGGAUACACUGACGGAGACAGGUCGACGGAGGAGGCCGUUUUUGUUCUUCGUCUGCUUCCGUCUCUGGCUUUCCCUUUCCACAUCUACCCACUUUUAAAAAAUAAAUCAGACCAAUAAUUGUCACCAUCAAAAGUUUCCAUAAUUUCUAGGUAGGAGAAUACCUCGUUCUACUUUAUUAACUAGAAGAAUAACCUGAAAUUCAAUUGGAUUCCAAAGUUCAAAUAAUCAAAGUACAACAAACAUCCUAUAUACACACGUUCUCCUAAUUCUCUGGUCCACUUAAGGUGGAGGCAGGUGUUUGAUUGAAACAUGAAUUCAGCAACGAACACAUACAAAUAUUGACAGAUGCAAGAAAUUGAUAUUGGCGGUUGUGAGGCCCUUUGUAAUGUUGUCUUGUAGAAGUGAAUUGGUUAUAUUGGUGGUGAAAGGAUUCUGUUUUAGCACCUUUUGUUCAAAGUGUUUGAUAUCAUAUGGAGAACUAUGCAUGUUAAUUACUUGAGUUGAUGUGAGAGAGGUUCAUAAAUCAUAAUUGGUUUGUACAACAUUCCAUAAUAAUGUUAAGGGAUUAAGAAAAGGAAAGCACUUGUAAAUGUAACUAUUGUUUGCUGGAAAAGGAAUGGAUGCUUCUGUUAGUAACUUCAUCAACCAAGCUGGUUGAAUCAGUUGAAUCUUGAUUCGUGUUUGGUGUCAUCUUGAUUUUAUCACCAUUGUACCUUUGAAAUUUGAACUGUUAAAGCUUAUUAUUUGGUGUCGGUCGAGGCUUCGUUUUGUAUUGGAUGUCUAACAUUCAGCGGUUUGAUCUGCAGUAGUAGUUGGCAUUGAAUUUUCGGACCAUAUAUAUCAUGGAGUUUUUCCCUACUCAUAUUUGGUUUUGUUUUUGGGGCUGGAUAUUGAUGUGCAGAUUGAUGAGAACGUUCAAAGGGAAAUCAUUAAUCAUAGGUCUCUGAGGCAUCCCAACAUUGUGAGGUUUAAAGAGGUUGGUUGUCUGUCCUUCAAAGUCUCUUCUUUGGUUAUUCAUCUUCGAGUAGGUGGAGGGAUCUUUAACUGUGCUCUGGAACUUGUGUAAUUAUGUUCAGGUCAUCCUGACACCUACUCAUCUGGCAAUCGUUAUGGAAUAUGCAUCCGGUGGAGAGCUCUUUGAGCGAAUAUCCAGUGCUGGCCGUUUCGGUGAGGAUGAGGUCUGUAUAUAUUAUGUUCCUCUCCUUUGAUAAGAACCAAUAGAUUUGGUGUAGCGUCCUGAAUCGUGAUUCUGUUGAUUUCCAUGGCUCAGGCUCGCUUUUUCUUCCAACAACUGAUUUCCGGGGUUAGCUAUUGCCAUGCUAUGGUAAUUGAAUGUGAAUCUUUUCCCUGCAUACUCCUCAUUAUUUACUUCCUUACUAUUUUCUAAUGUACUGUUUCUUGAUGAAGCAAGUGUGUCACCGUGAUUUGAAGUUGGAGAAUACAUUGUUAGAUGGAAGCCCUGCUCCUCGGUUAAAAAUUUGUGAUUUUGGGUACUCAAAGGUAGUCCUCUGUUACUUUGAUGAAUUUAUGAAGCAAAUUGAAACUCCUCAUGUUAUUGCUCAUGAAGUUCUGUUUGUAAUUUUCAGUCAUCGGUGCUUCAUUCACAACCAAAGUCUACUGUGGGAACUCCUGCUUAUAUUGCUCCUGAAGUUCUGUUAAGGCAAGAAUAUGAUGGAAAGGUAACCAAAAAUCCACAAUCAUUUUUUUUGAUAAAAAAAAAUCCACAAUCAUUGUAGCUAAGUUUUCACCAUGGUCUGUGUGAACUUAAUACGCUAAGGGAUUGUUCAGUCAGGGAUUUGGCUCAAGUGGGUAAUUAGUUCAAACCCGCAAUGCUGUGAAUACCACUACUGGUGUGUAUUAACACUACGCUAAUGUAUUGUUCAGUAAUUGAAUAACACUACUGCAAGUUCAUGCUUCUGAAUUCAUACUAUAGAUGAUUCAGAGGCUCAGCUCGCUUCGGUCUCCGUCACCGGCCUCUGCCAUUCCGGCAAGCCGCCUAUUCGAAGGAAUCGAAGGAAAAAAGGAGACGGCGGAGUCUCUGUCUCGAUUGGCAGUGGUUACACAGUUAUCGCCAUUGAAGUAGAUCCUUGUAGGGAAUGGCCAACUUUUGUCAAACUUGAAAGUUGUGGUUUCUUUCUCGAAGAGCAACUCGGAUUGCACGUUGCCAGCUGGGCCGGCUUACAUCUGCAGAUCGUUAUAGAACUUCACUCCCCACAAUAAUGAUGUAUCAUCUGUUACCAACAAUACAGAAGAUAAGGUAAUCAAAAAUUUAAAAAGAAAAAUAUAAUAGAAAAACUAGAAUAAAAGUUAAAAGAUUUAAAUCGAAUAAAUUAGGGUGAUCUAAUUACAUUAUUUAACAUAUUAUGGGUUAACUCAACAUUUUUUUAUUAAGAAAAAAAAACCAGCCAAUGGUAUUUUGACACAUAGUGUUUGUACCGGGUAUAUAUUUUCACCGGAGUGUCCGCCUUAAGUUUAUUGAGUGAUUUAUCAAAGUAAAUUCAGUUACCACUCAUAAUUAAUAAGUACUAAUUGUUGGUGGAGUUAAAAAAUUGGCCAAGAGGGUUCAAAAUUCGUACCUAACCACAUGUGGUGGGAAACAGUUGAAAAUCUAAGUUAAAAAUUGUGUAAUCGAAAGCAUAAACAUCCACACUAACAAGAAAACUCAAAACCCUUAAAAAUAUUUUUUAAUUUCAUUUGGAUAUUAUUUGAAAGGCUUAAUGUAUGAUAAACUCUAACUUUUUAUCAUAAUUAAAAAUAAUAGAUUCUAAACCUCAAAAAUUUAACUCUUGUCACUCGCCCAUGAACCUCCGGUUGGGACUUCGCGAACGAGCUGAUCUUCGGGGCUGAUCGUAUGGGGGGCCUAUGACAGCUUCCGCUCGAGCUUCUCCAAUAAAUAAUGCCCCUUUCUUUUGGCUUUCUCACCCAGCUCCUUCAAUUCCUCCUCCAGCUCCUCCAAUUCCUCCUCCAAUGAAUCUAGCUUCUUGCUUAUGGUUGAAUCCGGAUCCUUGGUCUUUUUUAUCUGGUUCAACAACUCUUGGAAGGCUAUCGGCAACACAGCAGCGACCACCAGACUUGUAGUCGCCGGUUCCAUCUUUUGUUGUUGUGGAAAAAAUGAUAAGAAUGAUGAAUAGUGGUGUGUCUUGGGCUUGGUGGUGUCUGUGAAGUGAAGUCUGAAGACUUAGCAAUAUAUAUAGGCAUAUAAUGUAUGCAAUACUCAAGGAAUUUUCUGACGUGGAAAUUAGUAUAUGUAUGUUAAAAAGCGCGUAUUAUAUACCAAAAUGAAAACAAAUCGGCCGCCAAACAAGGCCGAACAAUAUCUAGUAAGUAGAAUAAUGCAG